rnacentral:rRNA from 1 species
UACGUAGGAGGCGAGCGUUGUCCGGAAUUACUGGGCGUAAAGAGCGCGUAGGCGGCGCGAUACGACCGGAUGUGAAAGCCCCCGGCUCAACUGGGGAGGGUCAUCGGUACGGUCGUGCUAUGAGUGCAGGAGGGGGAAGUGGAACUCCGGGAGUAGCGGGUGAAAUGCGUAGAGACCCGGAGGAACACCAGUGGCGAAGGGCGGCU